rnacentral:lncRNA from 1 species
UACCGGUACAAGAAACCGUGUACCGGUACAAGGAGCCCGAACAGCAGGAAAUUGACCUAUUGCGAAUAUGAUUGGUUGGGGGGUUUAUUUGCAAUUGUUGCAAUAUAACAAAUACCCCAAACAUCUCUCUCUCUCUCCCAGCUGCUCUCUCUCCCUCUCUCAACCGUGCAUAGCAAAGAGAGAAAGAAAAGAAGAGAAGGAGAAGGAAAAGAGAAGAAGAGAAGGAAAAAAGGGGAAGAAAAGGAGAAGGAGAAAGAGAAGGAGACCAUGAAGGAGAUCUUCUUCCCCCUCUUCAUCUUCUUCCUCACCUUGGAGCAAGCAUAGAGAGGUAAGCCUCAAACCCUACCAUGGUGGAUUUCUAGGGUUAAGGUUUUAUGGUUUGGAAUUGGUUCAAAUGGAACCUAUUGGAGCUCAAGAGAUGGUUCUAGCUCACAUUGAAGCUUUGAACCAUGGAUUGCACCAUUGAUGCAAACCUAGGGUUAGAGUUUGGGUUUUGAACCCUAGAUCUUAGUUUUGAUCUCCCUACAAGCUUUAGAGCUUCAUAGUAGCCGAAGAACACAUGAAAUCCAUGGUUUCUUCGUAGUGCUCUAAUGGUGGAUUUCUAGGGGUUGUUCCAAAUGCCCUAGAAAUGGUUCAAAUGGUUUGGAAAUGGGAUUAGAGAGCUUCUUGGGUGGUUCUAAGCUUAAUUAUGCUUAGCUAUGAGAUCAAUCCCAAGAAAUUUGAUUAUGGCAUUGUUAGGGCACCGAAAUUGGGGCUUUUGCCUCCGGGUGUUUCUAAGGCAAAUUGGCCUUAUAGAAACCUAAUUGGGGACCUAACGAACGCGUUGAAACGCUCGGUUCGGCAAUCCGACGAGCGUACGCGAGGUUAUUGACGAAACGGUCGGUUUUGGUACAGAUAGCCGCAGCACGCGGAAUAAAGGUUUAAAAAUUAUGAGAUCGGAACUGGAGCACCUUGGAGUCAAGGAAUAAACUCCGGAAAAGACGGAUCACGGUUUGGAGGUCGUUUGGAAGUCACGCAAGAGUUCGGGCCAAACCGGGCAACGGUUGCCGCCGGAGGCCGAUUGCAAGUGACUACGAGCAAUCGGAGCGCGAGUUAAGGUGGGUUGGUUUACCGAAGCGACUAGGUCGCCUUUAUGUCUAAGAAAUUAAGAAUCCAUGUUGAUGCAUAUAAAUGUAAAUGGCAAGGAGAUCGCUCAGUUAGGCAAUACGAGCGGGAGUUUUCCCGUAUCGUGCAUUGUGUCCCAAACUUGGUACGAGAUGACAAGGACAAGGCUGACUGCUUUGUGCGUGGACUGCGGCCAGGCCUUUACAAGGCUGUGCUUGUACACAGGUUGCAGACUUUUGCUGAAGUCCUGGAUCGGGCCUUGUGGAUAGAACAAGGCGAGGCAUAUCUGCGAGAGGAGCGCGAGGCAUGUUACAAGGAAAAGGGGAAAGGACGACCAACAGGUGGAUCCAGUGGUCAGUCAAGUUCCCAACGGACUUCGACGAGUUCGCACUCGCGAUCCCGAGCUCCGGGGACAUACCGUAUUCGGUCCUCGGCGAAAUGUGCUAUCUGUGGAGGCCCUCAUUUUCCACAGUAGUGUGAGCAGCGAGAGGGCAAGUGCUUCAAGUGUGGGCUGCCGGGUCAUAUGCGAGACGAGUGUCCGCGUGGUGACGGACGGACCUUGGCACUGGCGACGGCGUAUUCCUCUCUGGGACAGCCUGCAGGUGUGCCCCCUGCGGCAUGGCCGGGAGAGCAGCCGUUGAGGACGAUGCAACCAGAGGGUUCGCGACGAGCGCCAGGUGGGCACGGAUAAGCUACCCGAAUCACGGAGCCUGCCGCUGCUGACGUCAUCAUGGCAGGUAUGAGUUAAUUGAGAAAGCAUGUGCUUUUACUAAUCUCAAGUUGGUGCAUAGCAUGCAUUUAUUGUUGGUCGGUUGCUACUAAUUAUAUUUAUUGCAUAGUAGGGACCGAAUAGUCAGGUAAGUAGACGCCCGUACAUGCUUGCAUUGUGAGAGGUGGCGCCUGCUGAUGCAGGUAGGAAGCCAAGUGGUGCUAGCUAAUGGCUAGUGAUGAUUCUCCGGUAAGGAAUGAGAUCCGUGGAGAACAUGGUCUAGUAAGUGACUCUCGAAAUAAUGGAUUGGAAAAAAAAAAAAAAUUGUGGAAGUUGAGCCUUAGUGUUGAGGAUACCCGAAAGAUUCGGGAGUUGAGAAUGUGUUCCGAUAGAUCGGACAGUGAAAGUAGAAUCACCGUGGUGAGAGUAGCCGUGUAGUUGACGGACGCGGGCCCGUUGGCCUAGUAAUACCUCGAAGUUGAGGUGGACAAGCUGUGCUCUUGUAGUGGACGUGCAUAGGCAAGCUGCCCGAUGCUGGAUUUCAUGUUAGACGCGGUAGAGGCGUAGAGCGCUCGAGUAUAAUUACUCGUGAGGUGCGGUUUCAAUUCAGCCAGUUGAGUGAGUUGGCAGUAGCACUUUAGCAGGGCUAAGUGUGAAGCGGGCCAUGGAUCACUCGUGGGGCUGGUGGCUCGCACAAGGUGCUUAAGAGCCGAUAGAGGUACUUGUAGCUCUGGUAGAGCAUGUCGUGUAAGACGACGUUGGCGGGUAGUGCUUGGGGACGACCCAUGCCUGGACCACUUGUGGACUGUGGAGCCUGGACCCAUUUGGCAGGCGCAGUCAGCUGUGAGAGACAGCGGCCCGGUACCUAUUGGUAGGGCGAGAGUUUUGGUCAGGACGGUAGUCCGAGCUUAGACCCGAGUACGUGGAAUGUCACGUGUUAGAGUGCGAGAUUGAUGAUGCACCGAGUGUGUAGUGACCCAACCCAAGGAUUUGAUGUGGAUUGGGGUCUUGAUAGCUCCUGGUUGGAGUGUGUGCGAGUUCUCCAAUGAGAAUGUCGCCCAAUGAUGAUUGGGUCUACGCUUGCGAGCGAGAGACGCUAGGCGUCGUUGAGACGAGUUUAGUUGGUAGGCCUACGUAGGGUGGGUGACUGUUGGUCCACCCGUAGAGACUGAUGGUCGGUGCGACCAAUGACUCCGUGAAUGAGCUUAGGCUCGAGUUGCGAACGAAGGGUUCGUGCAAAUCCACAGCUGGAGUAGAGUGGCGUUGAUCGUGGCUUAUGAUAUUAAAGGAUAAAGAGAAGCCGAAGUGCUCUUAUAAGGCCUUGAGCUAAUGAAAGCCACGUGAGAAUUGGAGUUGAAGUUAGUGGAUAAUCCUCUCAAAAGAGUUGAGGUUGAGACGCGCCGAAGUGUGCCGUCUCGUGAUAGGGCAAGGAUUCGAUUGAGAUUGAAGCACUCGCGAUGGGCCGAUGCACCAAUGAUUUUGUCGCUAUGCAAUGCCGGUGGUCGGAAUCGGAGUGGAAAGGUGCGUUGGUUCCCUCGAUAACUCGAUAGAUCGAGUGGAGAUGUGGUUUGAAUUUCGCGGACGAAAUUCUUUUAAGGUGGGGAGAAUGUAACCCCCAAGAUCUCGGUGAAUAUUGUGGACUUUAGCCAAAUUGACUAAAGUACUCGAAGGGAUUGGUUGGACGCGAUCCAUUAACGUUCCAACACUGUUGGAAGGGUUAAAAAUAAGCUUUAAAUGAGUUGGAAGGAUUUUGGCAUCGAACGACGCGAAAUAGGGCGGAAUCGAAGUCAAAAAUGACUUUUUGGAUGUCUUGUACCGGUACAAGACCAAUGGUUGUGCCGGUACAACCAGCGUAGUACAAUGGCUUGGAGCUGCCAGGCCUUGUACCGGUACAAGAGGCCUUGUACCGGUACAAGCCCUGCGUAACCGAGAGACCAGCCCUCGGGUUGGGCUAUCUGCCAGGCCUUGUACCGGUACAAGAAACCGUGUACCGGUACAAGGAGCCCGAACAGCAGGAAAUUGACCUAUUGCGAAUAUGAUUGGUUGGGGGGUUUAUUUGCAAUUGUUGCAAUAUAACAAAUACCCCAAACAUCUCUCUCUCUCUCCCAGCUGCUCUUUCUCCCUCUCUCAACCGUGCAUAGCAAAGAGAGAGAAAAGAAGAGAAGGAGAAGGAAAAGAGAAGAAGAGAAGGAAAAAAGGGGAAGAAAAAGGAGAAGGAGAAAGAGAAGGAGACCAUGAAGGAGAUCUUCUUCCCCCUAUUCAUCUUCUUCCUCACCUUGGAGCAAGCAUAGAGAGGUAAGCCUCAAACCCUACCAUGGUGGAUUUCUAGGGUUAAGGUUUUAUGGUUUGGAAUUGGUUCAAAUGGAACCUAUUGGAGCUCAAGAGAUGGUUCUAGCUCACAUUGAAGCUUUGAACCAUGGAUUGCACCAUUGAUGCAAACCUAGGGUUAGAGUUUGGGUUUUGAACCCUAGAUCUUAGUUUUGAUCUCCCUACAAGCUUUAGAGCUUCAUAGUAGCCGAAGAACACAUGAAAUCCAUGGUUUCUUCGUAGUGCUCUAAUGGUGGAUUUCUAGGGGUUGUUCCAAAUGCCAUAGAAAUGGUUCAAAUAGUUUGGAAAUGGGAUUAGAGAGCUCUUGGGUGGUUCUAAGCUUAAUUAUGCUUAGCUAUGAGAUCAAUCCCAAGAAAUUUGAUUAUGGCAUUGUUAGGGCACCGAAAUUGGGGCUUUUGCCUCCGGGUGUUUCUAAGGCAAAUUGGCCUUGUAGAAACCUAAUUGGGGACCUAACGAACGCGUUGAAACGCUCGGUUCGGCAAUCCGACGAGCGUACGCGAGGUUAUUGACGAAACGGUCGGUUUUGGUACAGAUAGCCGCAGCACGCGGAAUAAAGGUCUAAAAAUCAUGAGAUCGGAACUGGAGCACCUUGGAGUCAAGGAAUAAACUCCGGAAAAGACGGAUCGCGGUUCGGAGGUCGUUUGCUAAGUCGCGCAAGAGUUCGGGCCAAACCGGGCAACGGUUGCCGCGGGAGGCCGAUUGCAAGUGACUACAAGCAAUCGGAGCGCGUGUUAAGGUGGGUUGGUUUACCGAAGCGACUAGGUCGCCUUUAUGUCUAAUUAUUAGACUUUCAUGUUGAUGCAUGUUGAUGAUCGGCAUAGUUGAUGCUAAGUAGAAAUGCAUAAUAUGAUGUAGAUGCUAAAGUUGAUGCAUAUAAAUGUAAAUGAUGCAUGUAGCUAAAUAAUGCAUGAUGAUAGUGUGAUGUAAUUGCUAAAUAGAAUGCAUUAUGAGCAUGUUGAAUAAAGCUAGAUAAUUAUGUGAAUGCAUGUAAGCAUAAUGCAUAGAAUGAAAUGCAUAUUGAUGAUAUAAGUUAAAAUGAGAUAUAGAAUGCAUGUUGACAUUGUGAGAUAAAUGUGCAUGAAACUAGGUUGAUAACCCUAGAAUGAUUAAAGUGAAUGAUGCUAUGCUAAAGUAUAAGUGAUAAGCAUGAUAUAAGAAUAGUAAAUGCAAGUGCAUGUUAAGAAUGCUAAGUAAGGAACAUAUAUAGGUGGACAUGAAUAAACCUAUAGAUCGAGUGGCAUUAAACCUAGUGUCGAGGACAUAGGUUAAAUAAAUGAGAUGUUGAACCUAAUGUAAAGAACAUAGGUUAAAUAAGAGGGAUGUUGAACCUAAUGUAAAGGACAUAGGUUGUGAAAUGAAAGCUGCUUAACCUAGAGUCAAGUAAACCUAGGUUGGAAAAGAAUGAUGAUCCUAGUGUAAUAAACCUAGGUUAAGAAUGUGAAAGCAAUAAACCUAAAGUAAUAACUUAGGUUGUGUAAAGGACAAUGAACCUAGAGUCGAUUGGACCUAGGAGAUAAAUGCUUAGACCUAGAGAGGUCAGUUCCAUAGGGUUAAGACCAACCCUUGGUUGAUGUGAUAUGGAUUCCGGAAUCCCGCUGCUUGCUGCUACACCCAAAGUGGUGUCGGGUGUGUGCGACGAUUUCGCCGCCCAGGGGCUAGAGAACCAUUGUCGUGGCGUGUGUGCGACGAUUUCGCCGCCGGAUGGUUAGCCAGUUUGUGGAUCCUACCGCCUGUUGACUGAACCACUGUCGUGGCGUGUGUGCGACGAUUUCGCCGCCGGGUGACUAAGUCAUUGAACCUAGGCCGUUGUUGGGUGAGGUGCGAUUCGUUCGCCGCCAGACGGCUAGGACAGGAGUACGGUGAGCUGUUGCCAGCUGAGGUGCAUGUGAGAGUUCCUUCACCUCGAGCUAGACAGUGCGCGGACUAUCCGCGAUUGAUUGACUCAAGACCGAGUCGGGUGGCUUUGUUGACUAAGGUAAAGUGACCUUAGAGUAGAAUGCCAAAGGCUAAGAUAUAGCAUGGUUCAAGAAUGUUAAGAGUAAAGAAUAGCUAAAGAACAAAGAGUGGCUAAAGAAUAAUGAAUAGCUAAAGAAAGGAAUAGCUAAGAGCUAAAAGUAAGCAUCAAAUGGCAAAGAGUAAAGAAUGAUUAAGAACAUAAGUAGUGUUAAAGUAACCUACUUGCAUGAUUCCAGAUAUUGCAUAUUGCAUUUCGUGAGGC